AGAGUUUGAUCCUGGCUCAGGACGAACGCUGGCGGCGUGCUUAACACAUGCAAGUCGAGCGAUGAAGUUUCUUCGGAAAUGGAUUAGCGGCGAACGGGUGAGGAACACGUGAAGAAUCUGCCCUCCACUUUGGGAUAACACCGGGAAACCGGUGCUAAUACUGAAUAUUGAAACAUAAGUGGCAUCACUGAGUUUUGAAAGAAUUUCGGUGGAGGAUGACUUCGCGGCCUAUCAGCUAGUUGGUGAGGUAAUGGCUCACCAAGGCAACGACGGGUAGCCGGCCUGAGAGGGCGACCGGCCACACUGGGACUGAGACACGGCCCAGACUCCUACGGGAGGCAGCAGUGGGGAAUAUUGGGCAAUGGAGGAAACUCUGACCCAGCGACGCCGCGUGCGGGAUGAAGGCCUUCGGGUUGUAAACCGCUUUCAGUAGGGAAGAAGCGAAAGUGACGGUACCUACAAAAGAAGCACCGGCUAACUAUGUGCCAGCAGCCGCGGUAAUACAUAGGGUGCAAGCGUUGUCCGGAAUUAUUGGGCGUAAAGAGCUCGUAGGUGGUUCGAUACGUCGGAUGUGAAAAUCAGGGGCUCAACCCCUGACCUGCAUCCGAUACGGUCGAGCUAGAGUUUGGUAGGGGAGACUGGAAUUCCUGGUGUAGCGGUGGAAUGCGCAGAUAUUAGGAGGAACACCGGUGGCGAAGGCGCCACUCUGGAUCGACACUGA
rnacentral:rRNA from 1 species